UACAGAGGGUGCAAGCGUUGUUCGGAAUUAUUGGGCGUAAAGAGCUCGUAGGCGGUUCGUCGCGUCGGCUGUGAAAACCCGGAGCUCAACUCCGGGCCUGCAGUCGAUACGGGCGGACUUGAGUGUUGCAGGGGAGACUGGAAUUCCUGGUGUAGCGGUGAAAUGCGCAGAUAUCAGGAGGAACACCGGUGGCGAAGGCGGGUCUCUGGGCAACUACUGACGCUGAGGAGCGAAAGCGUGGGGAGCGAACAGG
rnacentral:rRNA from 1 species